AACGGAAGAGGCAAGCGUUAUCCGGAGUGACUGGGCGUAAAGAGCGUGUAGGCGGUUCUACAAGUGGGUUGUGAAAUCGGUCGGCUCAACUGCGGGAGGGCAAUUCAGACUGGAGGGCUGGAGGACGGCAGAGGAGUGUGGAAUUCCGGGUGUAGCGGUGAAAUGUGUAGAUAUUCGGAGGAACACCGGAGGUGAAGACGGCGCUCUGGGCCGUUCCUGACGCUGAGACGCGAAAGCGUGGGGAGCAAACGGG
rnacentral:rRNA from 1 species